GACGGAGGGGGCUAGCGUUGUUCGGAAUUACUGGGCGUAAAGGGCGCGUAGGCGGUCCUUCAAGUUAGGCGUGAAAGCCCUGGGCUUAACCUAGGAAUAGCGUUUAAUACUGGAGGGCUAGAGAUCGGUAGAGGGAAAUGGAAUUCCUAGUGUAGAGGUGAAAUUCGUAGAUAUUAGGAAGAACACCAGAGGCGAAGGCGGUUUCCUGGGCCGAUACUGACGCUGAGGCGCGAAAGCGUGGGGAGCAAACAGG
rnacentral:rRNA from 1 species